rnacentral:misc_RNA from 1 species
AACUGAUACUACCUGCGGGAACCUGCGGAGGGAUCAUUACAGAGUUGCAAAACUCCCUAAACCAUUGUGAACGUUACCUAAACCGUUGCUUCGGCGGGCGGCCCGGGUCCUUCCCGGCGCCCCUCGGCCCUCGCGGGCGCCCGCCGGAGGAAAACCAAACUAUUGCAUUGUAUGGCCUCUCUGAGUCUUCUGUACUGAAUAAGUCAAAACUUUCAACAAUGGAUCUCUAGAUCGGAAGAG